UACGGAGGGUGCAAGCGUUAUCCGGAAUCAUUGGGUUUAAAGGGUCCGUAGGCGGAUUAAUAAGUCAGUGGUGAAAGUCUGCAGCUCAACUGUAGAAUUGCCAUUGAUACUGUUAGUCUUGAAUUACUAUGAAGUAGUUAGAAUAUGUAGUGUAGCGGUGAAAUGCAUAGAUAUUACAUAGAAUACCAAUUGCGAAGGCAGGCUACUAAUAGUAUAUUGACGCUGAUGGACGAAAGCGUGGGUAGCGAACAGG
rnacentral:rRNA from 1 species